rnacentral:rRNA from 1 species
CUUUGAGGCGAUCGGGCGAACUGUGGUUAAGGAACUCGGCAAAUUGCCCCCGUAACUUAGGGAGAAGGGGGGCCGGAGACGUGAAGCCCCGCGCGGGUGGAGCGUUGUAUGGCCGCAGAGAGCAGGGGGAAGCGACUGUUUACUAAAAACACAGGUCCAUGCGAAGAAGUAAUUCGAUGUAUAUGGACUGACGCCUGCCCGGUGCUGGAACGUUAAGGGGACCUGUUAGCUCUUCGGGGCGAAGCGGAGAACUUAAGCGCCAGUAAACGGCGGUGGUAACUAUAACCAUCCUAAGGUAGCGAAAUUCCUUGUCGGGUAAGUUCCGACCUGCACGAAUGGCGUAACGACUUCCCCACUGUCUCAACCACAGGCCCGGCGAAAUUGCAGUACGAGUAAAGAUGCUCGUUACGCGCGGCAGGACGGAAAGACCCCGGGACCUUUACUAUAGCUUGACAUUGGUACUCGAAUUAGCUUGUGUAGGAUAGGUGGGAGCCGGUGAAGUCCAUACGCCAGUAUGGGUGGAGGCAAUCUUGAAAUACCACUCUGGUUGAUUUGGGUAUCUAACUUCGGACCGUUAUCCGGUUCAGGGACAGUGUCUGGUGGGUAGUUUAACUGGGGCGGUUGCCUCCUAAAAGGUAACGGAGGCGCCCAAAGGUUCCCUCAGCCUGGUUGGCAAUCAGGUGUUGAGUGCAAGUACACAAGGGAGCUUGACUGUGAGACUGACAGGUCGAGCAGGGACGAAAGUCGGGACUAGUGAUCCGGCACUUGCGAGUGGAAGCGGUGUCGCUCAACGGAUAAAAGGUACCCCGGGGAUAACAGGCUGAUCUUCCCCAAGAGUCCAUAUCGACGGGAUGGUUUGGCACCUCGAUGUCGGCUCGUCGCAUCCUGGGGCUGUAGCAGGUCCCAAGGGUUGGGCUGUUCGCCCAUUAAAGCGGUACGCGAGCUGGGUUUAGAACGUCGUGAGACAGUUCGGUCCCUAUCCGCCGUGCGCGUAGGAUACUUGAGAAGGGCUGUCCCUAGUACGAGAGGACCGGGACGGACGAACCUCUGGUGUGCCAGUUGUCCCGCCAGGGGCACGGCUGGUUAGCUACGUUCGGAAGGGAUAACCGCUGAAAGCAUCUAAGCGGGAAGCCUGCUUCAAGAUGAGGUAUCCCACCCACUUUGUGGGGUAAGGCCCCCAGCUAGACGACUGGGUUGAUAGGCCGGAAAUGUAAGCCCGGUAACGGGUUCAGUUGACCGGUACUAAUAGGCCGAGGACUUGACC